GUGCAUCCUCAGUGAGGGUCAUGUUUUCGAAAGUGGAAGCACUGUUAUUGUGUUUUUCGAACUUUUGGCAUAGAUGCAAAUAUUAUUUUAAUUUUUUAUAUUAUUUUUAUACCAGCAUGGUUGGAUAAUGGCGAGUAGUUUUCUUUGUCCAAAACCGGAGUGUUUUCAUCUUUCCUUUACUACAUUCAAUCGUUUUUUAAACCACCUACGCGAUAAUCACAUUCAUGAGCCAGGGUUCAAAAUAAAAUGUCCAGUGCAGUCAUGCUUUCGCUCAUAUUCUGUUCUCUCCUCUCUAACUUCGCAUGUUUCCCGUAAACAUGGAAAGGAAAAAGUAAUAAAUGAUGACGUUGGUUCAAGAAAUCCCGAAAACGAUGCACUAAACCGAUUGGAUAAUACAAUCGAAUGUAUACCGAAGACACCCAAGACAGGAGAGGCUUUCUCAAAGAGACAUUUAGCUUUAUUUGCCCUAAAGACGCAAGAAUUAAAUCAACUAACUGACAGUACAACAAACAAGGUGAUAGAUAAUACAACAGAAUUACUCCAACAACACGAGGCCCAUGUUAAAGAAAAGAUUAGACUGUGUUUGGAUAAAAGUGGGAUUAAAAUCAGUGAUAUUGAUGGAUUGGGAGUUGUCAUGAACUUGGAACAAACACCCAACAUGGAAUUCCUGAAAUCCACUAAGAAUAGGAACAAUUAUAUAUCUCAAGAAUUUAAGAUAGUGAAUCCAAUUGAGAUAGUCCUUGGGGAGAAAUAUAUGUAUGAUGAGAAUACAACGAAUGGUUCAUCGAAAGUGAAAGUGCAUUCAUUCCAGUACAUAUCAUUCAUCCAGGUCCUUCAACAGCUGCUAAAUCAAAUUGAUGUUUACUCACAGAUUGAAAAUUCUCAUAGAAGUGUUGAUGGGAAAAUGAGGGACCUUUGUGAUGGUGCUGAUUUUGGAGUGGGCAAACAUCCACUUUUUUCCUUAAAUUAUAAGGCUAUCCAAUUAAUUUUAUAUUAUGAUGACUUCGAAGUUUCCAAUCCACUAGGAUCAAAAGCUGUUGUACAUAAAAUUGGUGCCUUCUAUUGGGUGUUAGGAAAUUUCCAUCCCAAGUAUAGAUCAUGCCUAAAAAAUUUGAAUCUUUUGAUUCUUUGUCCAGUCAAGUGGAUUAAGAUGUAUGGUAUGGAUAAAGUCCUCAGGCCAUUCAUGAGUGACCUUGCUAUGCUUGAAUCAGAACAUGGCGUACAACUCAAUAUAGCAAAUCAAAUUAUUCCAAUUAAAGGAACAUUAAGUGUAGUAAUUGCAGAUAACCUUGGUAGCAAUUCAAUUGGAGGUUUCAUGGAGAGUUUCAGUGCAAAUCGGCCGUGUAGGUUCUGUCUGGGCACAUCGGUGGAAUUUCAAGAAAGGUUUUCUGAAGAAUUAUUCACGAUGAGAUCCCGAGAAAAUUAUGCCAGGCAGGUGGAUUUGGUUUCCACUGAUCCAGAAUCAGCUUCUGUAUAUGGUGUAAAAAAGAACUCAGCCCUAAAUGCUUCUAAAUAUUUCCAUGUUGUUGAUGGACUUCCUUCUGAUAUCAUGCAUGAUAUCUUAGAAGGUGUACUUCCUUUCCAAAUUAAAGCGAUGUUGAGAAAAUUCAUCAUGGUGGAUAAAUUUUUCACACUUGAUCAGUUCAACAACGCGCUUUCAGCAUUCCCAUAUGGUGUUUGUGACAUCAAGAACAAACCAAGCUUGGUAAAGAAUGUCAAUCUUAGUGAUUACCAUUUACGCCAAUCAGCAUCACAAAUGUGGUGUCUUUCUAGAAUCCUGCCAUUUUUGGUUCACAAAUGGAUACCAGAAGGAAAUGAUGACUGGGAAUUGUUCACUGAUUUAAUGCAUAUUGUUGAUAUAUUGUUUGCCCCAGUGAUUGAGAAAGGUACUACACUCUAUCUUCGGCUCAUAAUCAGCGAGUAUCUGGAACAGUUUAAAAGGCUCUAUCCUGAAAGAAAACUUAUUCCAAAACAGCAUUUCAUGGUUCAUUACCCAAACCAAAUUCUAAGAUAUGGACCCCUUGUGCGCAACUGGUGCAUGCGCUUUGAGGCUAAGCAUCAUUAUUUUAAGCUUUUGGCGCAGACUGUAGGUUGCUUCAAGAAUAUAGCAAAGACAUUAGCUACCAGGCACCAACGGCUUCAGUGUUACUGGCUUAGUGACAGUGAUGGCUAUUUAAGGAGUGAUACUGAGGUUGGACCAGGUUAGUGAACAACAAAAGUGCAUACUGGAUAUUAGCUGGAAUUUUGUAAUGGUUUUUAGGAUGUUAAAUGUUGUUAUAAGUAUCCUUUAUUUCUACUUCAUGUAUUUAUUAAUAUUCUGCUUAGGUAAAGUUUUUAUGUGAAGGAUCUGGAAGAGAAAGAAUGCACCUCACUGUGCCAGUUGGGCAACAAUUUGGAUCAGAAUUCAACUGUGACACUGUUGAAUUGGGUGAAAGUCAAUGGUUACAAGUACAAAAAGAAUAUGAUCAUAGUCUAUCAGCAAUUAAUUUUUCCUGUGUUUCUUUUUAUACAUAAUGUUUUUUUUAUGCCAAACAUGGAUGUUAUGUUUUCUUGCAAGAAAGUAAAUACAGUUGCUUUUAGCAGGCACAUUCAUUGCUAUGAGGUUGAAGUUUUGGACGAAUUUGUGCCCUUAUUAUUUUCUGGGAUGCUAGAUCAUCAUCCUCUAGAUCUUUAUACCAUUAUUGUAAAUAGAGAAUCA
rnacentral:misc_RNA from 1 species